GUAAUUAAGAAAUUAAAAGGUAAUUUCCACAGUCGCUGCGGCUCGCCUGGCCCAGUGAUCGCCUAAUUGAUGGUGCAGCCGGCAGAGCCCACGCAGCCGCCCUUCCGGUGCGCCUGGAGCGCAGCGCUCUCCGCGGGCUUUGUGGUUUCUGGAUCCAUCCCGGGAUGGGCUUCCGGGAGUUCCGGAGAGGGAGGGGAGAGCCAGAGCGGGGACACUCACGACCCUCGCGCCCCCCCACUCCCACCCCGCUUUCUCCAGGCUUUCUCGUCCUCCUCCUCGCCGCUACAAGUAUUGUGCCUUUCUAUUUGUCUUUCUUCCAUUCCACCCCCCACCCCCCUGCCCUUUGUGUUUUUCCACUCUAUUUCUUUAUAAACUUCUAUUUCUUUCUCUUCUCCUUUUAAUUUAAUUUUAUUUUUUUCCUUUCAUUUUUGGCCCUGCCACUUGGCAAGUGGGCUCUUAUUAAUUCCCCUACCAGGGAUCGCUCUUAUUAAUUCCCCUACCUGUGCCCCGAGCACUGGGAGUGUGGGGUCUUAACCACUGGACCCCCAGGGAAGCCCCUCUCAUCCCCUUUUCAGUUAGCUCACUAGUCUCUUUCCUACUAGUCUUCUCCACUACCACCACCACCACCCCCUCCUUCCCCAGGUUUCUGUCUCCAUCUCCCAUUUCCUUCAGUUUCUAAAAUUAUUAGUGCUGAGCCUGGAAGAGUUUCCAGCUGAUCCUUACACCCUGGAGAAGAUUGCAUUUAAGUUACUCCCACCACCACCAUCUCCGCCUCCAGUUCCUGCAGGCCUGGGCAGACCCAGCUGAGAAGAGAAUGAACUUGCAAACUUGAUUCAACCACAGGCCUUGUGCCGUGACCAAUAAAGGAUGCUCCUGCAAGCAGCUCCCCAGCUCUCCCCAGACCUGCCACCACCACCUCCAUCAUCUCCACCUGCCAGUCUGCCUGACUCCAUCUGCAGAGGAGAGACACGGCUGGAAACUGAGAGAGGAGGCUUCACAGGGCCCCACUGCCUGGACCACGGGCGCUGGGUUAGAGCAAGGCAGCCCUUCAUCAUUUCUAGCAAACUCCGUUUCCUACUUGGCAGGGGGCACUGCUCCUCUCUGGGCACCUUGGAGUCUCCUGCCUUCCAGGAAAAACAUCAGGGAAACCUUGGGUCACCUCGCUUGGCUGACAUCACCCAUCUAGACCUCAUCCAGUCCCAGGUCCCGCAAAAACAAAAGCCGUUGGACCUCAAAGGGUUGCCCUUCUUUCAGCCAGAAUACCUCUCGAAAAUGAUCUUCUUGAUGAGAGAGAUCUCUCUGUGCUGAGGUGGGCAGAUAAAUUAAGUUAAAAAAUGGAAAAUAUCAACACACUGCUCAAUCCAGCUCCGCGUUUUAUUUUUUGGCCGCUCCACACAGCAUGGGGGAUCUUAGUUCCCCAGCCAGGGAUCGAACCCACACCCCCUGCACUGGAAACUUGGAGUAGUUCUGACCAUUGGACUUCCAGGAAAUCCACCCCCUCUCCAACCUACUUUUUAAAAAUACACACUUUAAAAAAAGAAAAAGCUGUCAGAAUAUUAGCCAAAAGCAUUCCCUUUGGUUAUGUCUGAGGGUGGGAUGACAGAGGACAUUCUAUGCUCCAUGUUUCUACGAUGUUUUCAUUGAAGGAUUGCUUAUGUAGUCAGGAAUAACAGAGUGUUUGAAAAGGGGAAUGGCGAGGGGUUCUUGGGGUCCUUGAUGUCUUGAGAAGCCAGGUGGGUUGACAGGCAGGAUUCUAGAACAGUUCAUUCAAGAGUCUGAGAGACCACUUUCCCCAGGUUGGGGAAAUUUCAGCCUUUGGUCCAGGACUGAGUCAUCCUGAAGCAGAAAGGAAAAUUGAGUGAUGCUAAAGAAAUCUGAGCACUGAAGAACUGAUGCUCAUGAACUGUGGUGUUGGAGAAGACUCUUUAGAGUCCCUUGGACUGCAAGGAGAUCCAACCAGUCCAUCCUAAAGGAAAUCAACCCUGAAUAUUCAUUGGAAGGACUGAUACUGAAGCUGAGGUUCCCAUACUUUGGCCACCUGAUGUGCAGAGCUGACUCAUUGGAAAAGACCCUAAUGUUGGGAAAGAUUGAAGGCAGGAGGAGAAGGGGACGACAGAGGAUGAGAUGGUUGGAUGGCAUCACCGACUCGAUGGACAUGAGUCUGAGCAAGCUGUGGAAGAUGGUGAAGGGAUAGGAAGCCUGGCGUGCUGCAGUCCAUGGGGUCACAAAGAGUCGGACACGACCGAGUGACUGAACAACAACAGAAGAAAUCAUCGCUUCAUCUCUCUUCUUAAAAGUGUGUGUCUGCACUGCUAUAGUUAUUAAUAAGAUGGAUAACAAGGACCUACUGUACAACACAGGGAACUCUGCUCAAUGUUAUGUAGCAGCCUGGAUGGGAGGGAGUUUGGGGGAGAAUGGAUACAUGUGUAUGUAUGGCUGAGUCCCUUUGCUCUUCGCCUGAAAGUGUCACAACAUUGUUAAUUGGCUAUACUCCAAUAUAAAAAAAGUUCAAAUAAAUUCCUAACGUGAUGCUGUGUCGAGAAGCAUACACAAGAACAGGUGCUAGUCUUUCUGUCCAGGAAGUGGAGCCAGGUGGCCAGGGGUGGUGAGGACCAAGAUAGAGGUUUCACUCUACCUUUUCUGGUACGUUUUGAAUUAUAAACCAUGUGUAUGUAUUACCUACUCAAAAAAAUAAAUAAAAUUUAAACGUGAAAAUCAGGUACUUUCCAAAUAGCACUGUUAAAUCAGUGUACCAUGUGUUAAAUGUACGUACGCACUCAUGGACGAACACAGCCUUUUGAAAACAAUUAAUUUGAGGAUGUUCAUUAAGAAACAUUUGGAAAAUUCAGAAAAGGAGAAAGAAAAUAUAUGUCUAACCCAGAGUCCCGCCACUCAGGGACAUUCACCAGUAAUAUUCUGGCUUAUUUCUUCUAGUCUGUUUUGUUUAGUUGUCAUGUGGUUUGAAUCAUUCUGUGUUAGAGUUUUAGAAAUUGCUUUUUAAAGAUCUAAACAUGGAUAAAUGCUUACAAUGUCAUACCAUGAUAGGACAUUUGAGUCUCCUUCUUAAAGGCUGGUGUUGGGGCUCCCAUUGGUAUUGGCUGGUAUUGGGAAAUCUCAGAAGACAAUUCUGCCCUCCAC
ensembl:lncRNA